rnacentral:rRNA from 1 species
GAUGAACGCUGACAUAAUGCUUAACACAUGCAAGUCAACUGUGGCGGACGGGUGAGUAACGCGUAAAGAACUUGCCUCACAGAUAGGGACAAAAUUUGGAAACGAAUGCUAAUACCUGAUACUGUGAGAGAGCUUUGCGUCCCACUAGCUAGUUGGAGAGGUAACGGCUCACCAAGGCGAUGAUGGGUAGCCGGCCUGAGAGGGGGAUCGGCCACAAGGGGAGUGAGACACGGCCCUUACUCCUACGGGAGGCAGCAGUGGGGAAUAUUGGACAAGGGACCAAAGUCUGAUCCAGCAAUUCUGUGUGAACGAUGAAGUUUUCGGAAUGUAAAGUGCUUUCAGUUGGGAAGCGGUACCAACAGAAGAAGUGACGGCUAAAUACGUGCGAGCAGCCGCGGUAAUAC